AACGAACGCUGGCGGCAUGCCUAACACAUGCAAGUCGAACGAGACCUUCGGGUCUAGUUGCGCACGGGUGCGUAACGCGUGGGAACCUGCCCUUAGGUUCGGAAUAACUCCCCGAAAGGGGUGCCAAUACCGGAUAAUGUCUUCGGACCAAAGAUUUAUCGCCUUUGGAUGGGCCCGCGUUGGAUUAGCUAGUUGGUAGGGUAAAAGCCUACCAAGGCGACGAUCCAUAGCUGGUCUGAGAGGAUGAUCAGCCACACUGGGAAUGAGACACGGCCCAGACUCCUACGGGAGGCAGCAGUGGGGAAUAUUGGACAAUGGGCGAAAGCCUGAUCCAGCAAUGCCGCGUGAGUGAUGAAGGCCUUAGGGUUGUAAAGCUCUUUUACCCGGGAUGAUAAUGACAGUACCGGGAGAAUAAGCUCCGGCUAACUACGUG
rnacentral:rRNA from 1 species